ACAGGGGGUGGGCGCAUUCGGGUUCUCGUCAAGCGGAACAAGUGGAUCAGGUGUGUCCGAGUUGUAAACACUGCGUUCGACGCAUUGGUGGUUGCUCCAUUGUUAAGUACAGGUUCUUCUCUCUCUACAUCUACAUGUUUUGAUAACAGCGAUUAUUGAAGAAGAUACGGUACACAUCUUUCAGCACGGCGAGCUUCGCUAACGAGUAGUGCUUGUACGUACAACUGUUAGUGAAGAGUAAAGUGGAGUCAUGUUAACUUCAUUUUUGAUAGUGUUAUAAACAUACAUAGGGACUAAAAUUUAAUUAAGUUUUAUAUACUAAAUUAAAUAGAUAAUAAUUGAUUCAUUUUCUCUUAAAUGAAUAGAUGAAUAUUGUAUAUUCAUUUGUCCCAAAUUGAGUUGAUUUAAAUAAGAAAUUAUUUUUCAAAGAAACUUCAUUGAAAGGAAAAAAUUAGAUAGAAAAGUUUGUCUAACAUCAGAAAAAAUGAAAGAAAAUUAGUGAGCAUAUAAAACUCAAGUUUGACUUCUAAAAAUUGGGUUCUUAGACACCUCAAGUUUUUAGAGGGGCGAUUUAUGUACAAAAUGGCUUUGAUCCAUUAGCUUAUGGUUUUGACUCACGUGAGUCGUCCGUUAGGUCGGGUAUUUGUUCACGGGCCUUGGCAUAAUUGAAUAUUAUUUUUUUAAAAUUUAUUUUAAUUUUUAAACUAUUUAAAAUUAUACUUUCUUGCCCGAAUUUAAUUUUCUUUAGAGAAUGGUCAUGUUGUUUUUGAAUUUACGCGGAAGAAAAAUUACGAUUUUUUUCUUAUUUUUUUUAAAAUUUACGAACAGUCACAACCUUCUGAUUUAUGCAAAUAGGUGCCUGUUUGGCCAAAUGGAUGUCUAUUUGGACGAACGAGUGACUUUGCAAUAAGGUGUGACCCUCCAAAAAGGCAACACGUCUUUUCAAUGAGUUAUGUACAAAAUGAUUUUGAUCCAUUAGUCUAUAGUUCUAACCAAUGUGCAAUUGCACCGCAGUCACCCGCCCAUCAGGUCGGUUCAUGUUCACGGGCCUUGGGCUAAUUGAAUAUUGAUAUUUAAAAAAAAAUAUUUUAAUUUCUAAACUAUUAAAAAUUAUACUUUCUUUCCCAAAUUCAAUUUUCUUUCGCGAAAGGUACGUCGUUUUGAAUUUAUGGGGAAGGAAAAUUAUGAUUUUUUCCUAAUUUUUUUUUUUUUCUUAAUUAUGAUUUUUUCGCGACGGUACUCGUUUUGAAAAUUAUGAUUUUUUCCAAAUAGUUAUAACCUUCUGAUUUAUGCGAAUAUGUGCCUGUUUGGCCGAAUGAAUGUCUUUUCAAUGAGGUGUGACUCUACAGAAAGGCACCAUACCUCUUCUAACGUGAGAACUUCUAUAUAAACCCACCAGCAUUCAUUCAUUUUAUUCGAAAAUAAAGUUUAGAGUGCUAAAAAUUGCAUAAAUUCAUCCUGUAUUUUUUGUAUACAUUUGAGAGAAAGAAAACAUUUAAAGAUUCGUUAUGUUCUUCUCAUUUGACGUACUACUAUCAGAAGUUCGAAAUUGUUGUAUCCUGAGAGUCGUAAGUUAUAUUAUGUAAGUACCAAGUGCGGACAUAAAAUGACUUAAGGACACUAAAUUAACUUCAGGCAUCAGUCGUUAAAUUCUUGUAAGUUUUUACUUUGUUGUUUAAAUUAUUCAUUCUUCUUCUUCUUUUCUAUGUUUAUAAAAAAAUUUACAUUACUUUGUUAAAACUUUCUAUUUAUUUUAAGAAAAUAAAAAACUAACACACGUUUUUCCAACACCUUUUCCUAUAUUUAUGAAAAAGCAUUGAUAAUGGUUGGUAUUUUCCAUAAACCCCCAACUGUGAGUGAAUGUGGGUUUAUGGUGAUCACCUGACUGGAUUCAUGAGAGAAAAAAGAUAUCCUCCACUCAAAUUUACUUAUAAUUUUUUAUUGGUCAAAAGUACCGCCAUACAUAAGUCGGUGCGCUCAAUAUUUGUUACCAGACCUUAGAUCAUUGUCCUAAAAAUGUCUAUUCCUUUGUUCGGAUGCAUUUUUAGUAACACAAUCUUGCUUUAACAGCUCAUUUUUUGUUCGCUAAAAGUUUAUUGGAGAUCAAAUCAUCAUAUAAACAAAUUAAAUUUGAACACCUUGAGAUUUUGAGUUGUGCUCUAACUUAGCUCAAAAUCUUAGGGCCAUCUACUAAAGCUGAUUCUGAACAAUUGGGAAUGUUUGGUAACGUUUUUAAUUUUUUGUGUUUGUAUUUCCAUGUUGUUUCGUUAUGUUUAGUUUUGUACAAAUAGAAAUUUAAAAAUAUGUUUGUAUAAUAACUUUUUUUUAAACUUUUAAAAAUAAAAUAUGUUUUGAUUCACCAAUUUUUUAAACAUUUAAAAAUUAUUGGUGGUGGUGGUAGAGACGGAGAUCGGAGGUAGGUGGGCGGUGGUAGCAAACGCCGUGGUGGUGGUAGUUGGAUGUGACGUCGGUUGAGGAUGAGAUUUUUUAUUUUCGGUUA
rnacentral:lncRNA from 1 species